CUGGAGUGUUGUCGGAGUUGCAGCAGCCUCGCUUCAUUGCUCCCAACGUGCCCUGGAAGUGGAAGAGAGACUGCAAGAAGUCAGGAGUGGAGCCCACGGUUUGUGUGCGGCGGAAAACGAGAAAUCACCAGCCCGCGGUGAGCUGCACCGAACCACGCUGAGAAGCGGGGCACUAGGACCGUGGAGAGUCUCUCCCUCUGCAGCGCCGUCGAUCCAGGGCCUUGCCCGCCCGGCGGAUUUCACUUCCCAGUCUCCCGGAUACUGGCGAGUGCAGAGUUUGGAAUUUCAUGAUGCCUUUAAGACACCUGACACUCUCCUUGAGCAAUCGAUCAGAAGUGUUUGAUCUGAAAUAUUGCAAUUUGUAUAUGAAGGAGGGUGCACCGGAAAAUCCAUUAAUAAAACCACAGGAUUUACCACGGGGAAAAGAUGCGACAUUGGAGUUCUGCAAUUCCCCAAACCCUAACAUUGGCAUCACCGGGAUCUUGACGUACCACUAUGGGGAAACAGACACUGGCUUUGCCAUCUCUUUUCUAGUUCCCGUCUAUCAGCAGGACAUUCCGGAAAUCUCCAUCUUCUGUUUGCGAUACCUGCCCACCCUCCAGAAACCGGAUUUGAAUCUGGAUUCUUUUAAGCAUCCUGAUGCUGACCUGUAUGCCGAUAUGAUCAGACAUCCAACCAGUUCUGCCACUGGCAAUGGUGUCUGUGUCACUGGUGGUACAAUGACACCCAUUCCCAACAGCAGACUUACAGUAACCAUCACAGAUAUCUAAGAGCUAGGCCGGACUUCCACCCCUAACCUUCCCCGCUGUACUGUGGUCAUUUGUCAAAUAGUUGGCAUGUGGUACCAUUCCCCAGCUUCACUGUACAUGCAUAGUCCAACACAGCUGGGGUAAAGUUGUGAUACGAGGAAGAUCAAGCCUUGAAUUUGAUAGUUGCUUUAUUAUUGAUGAGAUUCAUUGAAACCAUGUAAUUAAUUCACAAUUCCAGGAACAGGUUAAGUUGGUAACAGUGGAAUUCUUUUUGUUAAAAAUACACACAUAUUUGAUCUUCAAUUUAUAUUUAAACAGCAAUCCCUAAAAGCAGUCUGUGUGAGAUGGUCUAAUUACUGGGAAUGAGCUACACACUUAAACACUGCAUGUCUUAAUGUGGUUUCCUUUGUAGUGUGAGAUUUCACCAGAGAUGGAUGUAGGGUUUGUCAUCUUUUACUGCUAAACCCUGGGUUACUUGCUUUUUCUACUGUGCUCUUAACUGCAGUCAAUUGUGCAUUCGUAAUCCUAGCAGACCUGGAGUAAAACACUAAAAGGUUGUUUUACUACAUUGGGUGUGGGGAUAUAAAACUUUUCCAAACUUGACCCACCCCAAAUGACUCACUUGUAGUAUUGAGACAUUCAUAAAAAACUGCUAAAUGUCCUUGCUCUGUUUAGAAUGAUUCACUGCUUUCCUUAAAAGAGUUAACAAACAAGUAAUACUUUAUUUAAUUGAAGUGGGCACAGAUUAGUGUUAAUGGAGAUAUUACGUAUGGCUUUUGGAAAUGCCUUGUUGAGUUGUCUUUCUUUAUCCUGUGAGUAGGUAGUGGAUAGACUUCAAUCCAAAAGUCUUAUCUGGCUUUGUUGAAGCUACCAAUCUAGAUGUUUGAUUUCCCUGUCUUCCUACACAGGGCCAGUCUGAAGUUUCAGAGGCAAGGUUAUACCUAGAAUUAGACCCCAGGCUUAAAGUGUGUCCUUUCAGCUUGGAUAGACUCUGCUGUAGACAUCUGAGUCAGGUUCUGGAAAUAGUCAUUGCGUUACAUGAGAUAGCAAUGAUCCAAUGAGGAAUGACCAGUAUCUUGAAUGAGCUGUUGAAAAUAAUUAUAUUGUGCGAGGUAGAUUAUUAUUUAAUAUUCCAGUAAGGAGAUGUGUGGAUCGAGAUUGCCAGGAUAAUGAAGACUCUUGAACUUCAGAUUCAAUUGAUUUGGCUGUUCAUGAAAAUUAAUUGCUACUUUUAAAACAUUUGUGUUACUGUUAUUGUGUGAUUAUUUAUGUGAAGAUUAAUUAUUUUUACUUCUAAAUUAUUUUUUGUCUGGUUUGGAUCAGAAGCAUUUUUGGGAAACCUGUACCAAACUGGACAAUCUAGGGAUGAAGUGCAGUUUACACUUCUAAAUAAGAACAUUGAUUCCAUUUAACAGGAAAUUUGUGAUGAUGACAGUGUAAGAAUUUUUUUAUUGACACAAAAUUUUUGUAAUUCAUAUGGCUUGAACUGUGAACCCACCUCCCACACAAGCAGCUUUGGCUUUUUUCGUCUUUCUAAUUUUGUGCUGAUUAUGGAGAUCACCUUUUGAGCUGCACAAUAUUAGGUUGAAUUAUUGUGGGUACUAACUUGAUAUUACUAGGCGUGAUCCUUGUAGAAGCAAAUUAAAAUGAACUGGAUGGUAUCAUGUAAA